GACAGAGGGGGCAAGCGUUGUCCGGACUGACUGGGCGUAAAGCGCGCGCAGGCGGUCGAGAGGCGUCGGUGCUCAAACGUCCACCGGCGUUAACGGUGGGAGGCGUGCCGAUACGCUCUGACUGGAGGGCGGGGCGAGGGUGGUGGAAUUGCCGGUGUAGUGGUGAAAUGCGUAGAGAUCGGCAGGAACACCAGUGGCGAAGGCGGCCACCUAGGCCCGCACCUGACGCUGAGGCGCGACAGCGUGGGGAGCGAACUGG
rnacentral:rRNA from 1 species